UACGUAGGUGACCAGCGUUGUCCGGAUUUACUGGGCGUAAAGAGCGCGCAGGCGGUCGUUCAAGUCGAGUGUGAAAGCCCCCGGCUCAACUGGGGAGGGUCAUUCGAUACUGAUCGACUUGAAGGCAGGAGAGGGAAGCGGAAUUCCCGGUGUAGUGGUGAAAUGCGUAGAUAUCGGGAGGAACACCAGUGGCGAAGGCGGCUUCCUGGCCUGUUCUUGACGCUGAGGCACGAAAGCCAGGGGAGCAAACGGG
rnacentral:rRNA from 1 species